CUGUCUGUCCAGUUGGGAGGAGAGUAGAGCAGGACCAAGAGGUGUUCUGUACCUGUCUGUCCAGGAGGGAGGAGAGUAGAGCAGGACCAAGAGGUGUUCUGUACCUGUCUGUCCAGGAGGGAGGAGAGUAGAGCAGGACCAAGAGGUGUUCUGUACCUGUCUGUCCAGGAGGGAGGAGAGUAGAGCAGGACCAAGAGGUGUUCUGUACCUGUCUGUCCAGUAGGGAGGAGAGUAGAGCAGGACCAAGAGGUGUUCUGUACCUGUCUGUCCAGGAGGGAGGAGAGUAGAGCAGGACCAAGAGGUGUUCUGUACCUGUCUGUCCAGGAGGGAGGAGAGUAGAGCAGGACCAAGAUGUGUUCUGUACCUGUCUGUCCAGGAGGGAGGAGAGUAGAGCAGGACCAAGAGGUGUUCUGUACCUGUCUGUCCAGGAGGGAGGAGAGUAGAGCAGGACCAAGAGGUGUUCUGUACCUGUCUGUCCAGUUGGGAGGAGAGUAGAGCAGGACCAAGAGGUGUUCUGUACCUGUCUGUCCAGGAGGGAGGAGA